UCGAACGAGUGUAGCAAUACAUUCGUGGCGAACGGGUGCGUAACACGUGGAUAACUUCCCUUCAAGUGGGGAUAACCCAGUGANAAUUGGGCUAAUACCGCAUAACAAGACCGGGGCACAUGCUUGGUUUUUCAAAGGCGCAAGUCGCUAGAAGAGGGAUCCGCGGCCGAUUAGCUUGUUGGCGGGGUAACGGCCCACCAAGGCAAUGAUCGGUAGCCGGACUGAGAGGUUGGCCGGCCACACUGGAACUGAGACACGGUCCAGACUCCUACGGGAGGCAGCAGUGGGGAAUCUUGCGCAAUGGGCGAAAGCCUGACGCAGCAACGCCGCGUGGGGGAUGAAGCUUCUCGGAGUGUAAACCCCUUUCGACCCGGAAGAAAGCCCGCAAGGGCUUGACGGUACGGGUAUAAGAAGCCCCGGCUAACUACGUGCCAGCAGCCGCGGUAUAAU
rnacentral:rRNA from 1 species